rnacentral:tRNA from 1 species
GCGAAUGUAGCUCAGUUGGUAGAGCGUCGGCUUCCCAAGCCGGAUGUCGCGGGUUCGAGCCCCGUCAUUCGCUCGA